GUGACGGUAACAUGCUACCAAUCGACUAUAUAAGGGCUGCCGGGCUGGCAGCAACACACAGUUCUAAUAAGAGAGUUGUCGAGUGAGGACAAUUCUAAGAAGAGAGUUGUCGAGUAAAGUGUAAACAAUAAACGAUAUACAUCGAUAUAUCGAUGUAUUUUUUUCGAUGCAUCGACUUGUGAUUAUAAUGUACUUGGACUAUUUUUUAAAUAAUAUUUGGAGCAGCUUAUACAAGAAAUUAAUACUUGAUAAUAAAGCCCAUCAGACAAGACUAAUAUUUUACAAUUACAAUUAGAGAAACAUCAACUGGAGGAUUUUUACCACGAUAUAAAUUUGAUAGUGUACAUUCAGCAGGAACAAAUUCCAUUGGAGGAGUUAAUAACAAAAGUUAGUACUUGAAAAAAAGAAGAGGAUAGCAACGGCGUCGCCUUUAGUAUACCAUCCACGAUUACAGAAUUAAAAUGCGUGUUUUUCAAGAUUAAGAGUUAUAUAAUUAUUACUCAAAAUUUAAGUUGAAAAUUUGACAAUUUUUAUCUUGCAAUUUCUCGAUUUAUAGUUCAUUUUUCAUUUAUAUUGUGCACUUAUUAUUCUCAAACGCUUUGUUACAUUGUUUCUACAUAUUUAUUUUAUAUCAAUUAUUUUAAUAUUUGCUUCAAAUGAGCAUUUAAAUUUUCACACAAUUCUCAAACGAGAUCCAUGUUGACAAAAAUAAGUGUUGUUGUAUAUACAUACAUAUUUUGCAAAAGAAUCGAAUUGAAUAAAAAAAGAUGAUCACUUUUUAAAGUGCGGCCGAAAGCCACCAAUACUUAAAGAAUUGGUACGCGAAAGAAUUUAAGACACACCGAGAUAUAAUCUAUAUAUAUAAAAAUUAAUUGCUGUUCGUUAGUCUCAUUAAAACUCGAAAACUGAACGGAUUUUUCUUAUCUUAGUCUUAAAAUGUUCGUGGAGGUCUGGGGAAGGUUUGAAAGAUGAAAAAAAAUCGUAUAAUUGCCGGGAAAACCCUAAAAACAGCCCUUUUCUAUUUCCCAUGCAAAUGUUUUUUAAAUAAAAUUGAACUUAAUUGCCGUUUAAUAAAGUUCAAAUCACUCACUAUUGUCUAAGCAAUUUAGGUGUGUUGCUUACGUCAAAGAGUCAAUUUGCAAUUUAUUCCCGCUGCACAAAGUUCAAAUUCAAUCAUAUCUAUCAAAAUCGUCUUCGCAUGCUCUUUGGAGGAUCUAAUGUCGCGUUCCGAAACUAAAAAAAAGUAAAUCGCGAAUGCAUAGUCACAAAAUAUAAUAAAUCAUUAGUAGUACUGAUUUUUCCGACUGAGAAUCAAUUUGUUCGGUUUCGUGAAACCUAAUUUUAGCUAACUUCAGUUGUUACUACCGAGCUGCAUUCCACUAUGAUCCGGCAAUUAAUUAUUGUGCCGACAAAUCGAUAACAAUUGGGGAAAUGAACAUAAUUUGUAAAUAUUGUAAGGCGUUAAAAUACACCGGUGAAUCUACUGGAUUAUGUUGUGCUGGAGGCAAAGUAAAAUUGCCACAAUUGGUCCAACCACCAGAUCCAUUACGUUCUUUCUGGGAUUGGAAAUGAUUCUAAGCACUUCUUGGCCAACAUCCAGAAAUAUAACAACUGUUUCCAGAUGACAUCAUUUGGCGCUACACAUAUUAUACAGGACAAUUUCAUGCCCACUUUCAAGAUACAAGGACAAAUUUAUCACUUAUUGGGGGCACUGUUACCACUACCUGAUGCAGUUCAUAAUUUUUAACAAAUUUAUUUUAUGGGCAAUUCAGAUGUGGAAGUUGAUAAUCGUUGUGCUCACAAUCCAACAGUGAAGAGAACCAUUGUCCAAGAAUUACAAAUGUUUCUUCAUCAGAAUAACAAUUUAGUAAACAUGUUCAAAAUAGCAUUAGAUCGGAUGCCAUCUGAUAGCCAUAAUAUUAUCAUUCGAGCUGACAAAACACCUGCCGGUGAACACACAAGGAGGUUUAAUUCACCUACCAUUGAUGAAGUGGCUGUUUUAUUGUGGGAGAAAAUUUACAAUCUAGAGAUAUUGUGCUUCAUCGUCGGAAUAGUAAUUUAAAACGUGUAUCUGAAACACAAAGAAGCUAUGAUGGAUUACAAUAUCCUUUGAUCUUCUGGCAGGGGGAAGAUGGAUACCAUUUUAAUAUCAAAAUGGUAAAUCCAGUAACAGGUGCUGAAACCAACAAAAAAGUUAGUGCUAUGAAUUUCUAUUCAUACAGACUCAUGAUCCGUCAAGGUGAAAUAAAUCAUAUUUUGAUGUGUCAACGACUUUUUCAUCAGUUUGCAGUUGACAUGUAUGUCAAAAUUGAAACUGAACGAUUAACAUACAUCCGUUUGAACCAACGACAACUACGAUCGGAGGAAUACAUUCAUCUCCGUGAUGCUAUAAAUGCCGAUGGCAAUGUGAAUAAUGUAGGAAGAAUGACAAUUUUGCCAGCCACUUAUAUAGGAAGCCCACGCCACAUGCACGAAUAUGCUCAGGAUGCUAUGUCAUAUGUUAGGCAUUAUGGCCGCCCAGACUUAUUUGUUACAUUCACAUGUAAUCCAAAUUGGUCUGAGAUCAAGAGGGAAUUGUUACAAAGCCAAACACCAGUUGUUAGACAAGACAUAAUUGCCAGAGUUUUUAAACAAAAAUUAAAAUCUCUCAUGAAUUUAUUCACAAAGCAUUGUGUGUAUGGCCGAGUAUGUACUCUGUAGAAUGGCAAAAGCGUGGAUUGCCACAUGCGCACAUUUUACUCUGGUUAGUGGACAAAAUAAGGCCAAAUGAGAUAAUAUAAUAUAAUUUCAGCUGAAAUUCCAGAUGAAACAGCUGACCUAAAAUUGCAUGCAGUAGUUACCAAACACAUGAUACAUGGACCUUGCGGACUUUUCAACAACAAUUCACCCUGUAUGGUCGACGGCAAGUGUUCCAAGCGAUACCCAAGAGACAUGCUUGCUGAAACCAUAACGGGAAAUGAUGGAUACCCAUUGUAUCGUCGCCGAUCAGUUGCGGACAAUGGGCGAUCGGUAAUUGUGAAGAUAAGAGGACAAAAUCUUGAUGUAGACAAUCGUUGGGUUGUACCAUACUCGCCAAUAUUGUAUAAAGCUUUUGAGACGCACAUCAAUGUGGAAUAUUGUAACUCAGUAAAGUCGAUAAAGUAAAUAUAUAAAUAUGUUAACAAAGGUAGCGAUAUGUCUGUCUUCGCUGUAACCAAUGCAAAUGAUGAAAUAUCACAGUACCAGAUGGGGCGCUAUGUAAGUAGCAAUGAAGCAAUUUGGCGUAUAUUUUCAUUUGCGAUCCAUGAAAGAUACCCUACAGUAGUCCAUGUGGCGGUCCAUUUAGAAAAUGGUCAACGAGUUUAUUUUAAUCAAUCGAACGCGGCAGACAGAGCAGCACGUCCACCAUCGACAACAUUAACAAGUUUCUUCACAGUCUGUCAAACUGAUGAUUUUGCUCGCACUUUGCUGUAUGCUGACAUGCCACGCUAUUACAUAUGGAAUGCAUCAUCGAAAUCGUUUCAGCGUCGAAAACAAGGAACACCAGUUGAAGGACAUCCAAAUGUAUUUGCUUCAGACGCUCUGGGUCGCAUCUACACAGUACAUCCAAAUAACGAUGAAUGUUUUUGAAUGUUUGAAUGAAUGUUUUGCAUCGUGUGCGCGGUGAAACUUUGAAUCCUACACUACAAAUGACUGACGAAAUUUACAAUGAGACAUUGAUUAUGAUAGAAGAUAUGUGUUUAUUGAUAGCUAAUAAAGUAUUGUCGUGUUUGGAAAUGACAUUGAAGAAUUGGCCGAAACAGUUCGUACAAAUGUUCCACAAUUAAAUCAACAACAAAGAAUUGCGUACGACACUUUAAUAGAAGCUGUGAACAGUGGAUCUGGUGGAAUUUAUUUCCUUGAUGCUCCCGAAGGAACAGGAAAAACGUUCUUAAUUUCAUUGCUGUUGGCCCGAGUCGUACGCACAUCAAAAACAUCUUGAUCAUCGGUCAGCCUCAGGCCGUUUGGAGAUGUUUCGUCAUGGAGGCUGAAUUUUCCGACUGUUGUGCCAAAUACACCUUCUAUACCCACCCUAUCGUUAAAAUCGCCAAGAACGAGUUUUACAUCGUGGCGGUGCCUGCGUUCAUAGGUGCUCAUAGAAAGUAUCUUUGGCCACAUCGCACAGUGAGACAACGCCGGCAUUAAAUACAAGGAGUCAUUGUUGAGCUCUGAAAUUUUGUACAGGUUAUUUUUGGGACAAUUCCAGUUUAAAAAAAAAUUAAGAAAAUUCGCCCACUUUUACGCCUACCUGCCAUACAGUCGAAAUUUUUAAAAUGCCGUAUUGUCCGUAAUACUUUAGGUAUAACUUUCAAUUUUGGUAUACUUGAAUGUUAUAUAGUUACAAACAUUAUUUGAAAUAAAAAUUGAACUUUGGCCCACUUCUAACCCCAUCACCCAUACUACCUCAACAUAAAAAGUGCCAUAUUUUCUAAAAUAUAUUAAAUACAACCUUCAAAUUCUAUAUUACUGUAAUUUAUAUCAUUUAAAAUGUUUCAUGCAAAAAUUACAAUAACACGCCCACUAAUACGCCCACCUCCCAAUGAAAUGCAAUAAAAAAAACAAUAUUUUUUUCAUUCAAUCAAUAAUUUUUUAACAUCAUCAUGGUAUUCUAAUUUUUUCAAUUUGUUUCUCAUUCUAAAUGAAUUAAUAUAAGGAUCUGAUGGUAUUUGCAAAUAGUGCAUUACAUCUUUAUUCGUAGAAAUACGUGAAUUUUUACGAGAAUGGAAUAGCCUACAGUUUCUAUACUCCUUAUUCAUUGCUUCUUGCGCUUCUUCGGAUAACUUUUCUCUUACUUUUUUACUACACUAAAAUUUAUAAGAACACGAUCAUCCUCUGAUCAAAAAUUAUGCACCUAUCUAACCCAAAGUCAAUGACCUUCAACAAAAUUAUCUAUCAAAUUAAUAACGUAAAUAAAAUUUAUGUAAACAAGAAUAAAACAUAAAUGAUUAAUAUUAAAGCA